rnacentral:rRNA from 1 species
UACGAAGGGGGCUAGCGUUGCUCGGAAUCACUGGGCGUAAAGCGCACGUAGGCGGCUUCUUAAGUCAGGGGUGAAAUCCUGGAGCUCAACUCCAGAACUGCCUUUGAUACUGAGGACCUUGAGUUCCGGGAGAGGUGAGUGGAACUGCGAGUGUAGAGGUGAAAUUCGUAGAUAUUCGCAAGAACACCAGUGGCGAAGGCGGCUCACUGGCCCGAUACUGACGCUGAGGUGCGAAAGCGUGGGGAGCAAACAGG